UUAGUUCAGCCAAGCUUCCCCAUUAUGCAUUCCCCCUGGGGGGUUACGGUCGCAGGAUUUAAACCUCAAAGUAAAUGGACGGGGCGCCCCGCACAACUCGGUGGACCAUAUGGUUUUAAUUAGAAGCACCGCGAAGAACCUUACCUGGUCUUGACAUCUUCCCCCCACCCCUAGAGAUAGGAUAGUCCCCUUCGGGGGCACCGGGACAGGUGGUGCGUAGUUGUUUUUUCCUCGCGUCGUGAGGAUGUUGGGUCUAAAACCCGCCAUGAGUGCCACCCCGGUUUUUAGUUGCCAGCAUUCACUUGGGCAAUGUAAAGUUACUGCCGGGGACAAACCGGAGGAAUGUGGGGAUGAAGUCAAAUCCUCAUGGCCCUUUUGACCUGGGCUACCCACCAUGCUACAAUGGACAGAACAAAGGGCAGCGAAACCAGCGAGGUUAAGCCAAUUCCCACAAAUCUGUUUUCAGUUCGGAUCGCAGUCUGCAACUUGACUGGCGUGAAGGUGGAAUCGUUAGUAAUCGGGGAUCAUCAUGGCGAGGUGAAUACAUUCCCCGGCCUUGUACACACCGCCCGACUCACCCCUAGAGUUUGUAACACAGGAAGUAAGCUACCUUCCUCUACUAGACAUGCAUUUUAUGCGGA
rnacentral:rRNA from 1 species